rnacentral:rRNA from 1 species
GUUUGAUCAUGGCUCAGAAUGAACGUUGGCGGCGUGGAUUAGGCAUGCAAGUCGAGCGAGAAAGGGGUGGCAACACCCCGAGUAAAGCGGCGAACUGGUGAGUAACAGGUGGGUAAUGUGCCCUGAAGUGGGGGAUAACACGCGGAAACGCGUGCUAAUACCGCAUGUGGUCAUCCGGACCCCGGUCUGGAUGAUGAAAGACUUCGGUCGCUUCAGGAUCGGCCCGCCCCCGAUUAGCUAGUUGGUGAGGUCAUGGCUCACCAAGGCGACGAUCGGUAGCUGGUCUGAGAGGAUGGUCAGCCUCACUGGGACUGAGAUACGGCCCAGACUCCUACGGGGGGCAGCAGUCUAGAGGCUUCGGCAAUGGGGGCAACCCUGACCGAGCGACGCCGCGUGUGGGAUUGAAGGCCUUCGGGUCGUAAACCACUGUCAAGAGGGAGGAAUACCCGGAUGGUGAAUUCGGGGGAGACAGUACCUCUGGAGGAAGCCCCGGCUAACUCCGUGCCAGCAGCCGCGGUAAUACGGAGGGGGCAAGCGUUGUUCGGAUUUACUGGGCGUAAAGGGUGUGUAGGCGGUUGCGUAAGUCUGGUGUGAAAUCUUCUCCGCUCAACGGGAAGAGGUCAUUGGAAACUGCGCGACUCGAGUAUGGUAGAGGCAAGCGGAAUUCCUGGUGUAGCGGUGGAAUGUGUAGAUAUCAGGAAGAACACCUGUGGCGAAGGCGGCUUGCUGGGCCAUCACUGACGCUGAUCCACGAAAGCGUGGGGAGCAAACGGGAUUAGAUACCCCGGUAGUCCACGCCUUAAACGGUGCGCACUAGGUGUGGGAGGUAUCGACCCCUCCUGUGCCGCAGCUAACGCAUUAAGUGCGCCGCCUGGGGAG